UCAAAUGCGAAGAACAGGAAAUGAUUUAUUUAUAUCACCGCCUACAGAGAGCCGUUGGUUGAUGAGAAACGGCAGCAAGGAAUAGAUAAGCCCUCACCUGCAAGCAGUUCUGGUGAAAGAUAUUAAUUUAGUAGUCAGAACCGGUACCCAUCGUUAACAGGGCAUGCCAUAUGUGUGGCAGUAGAGAGGUCGGAUUUAUCCGGCAAGCAAAGUGGUAACGCGGAAGUAAUGUAAUUUACCUUCGUCUUUGUA
rnacentral:ncRNA from 1 species